GGAAGGUUGAGGAUGCUGUAAAGUUAAGGCUGCUGUGAGCCAAGAUCACAUCGCUGUACUCCAGCCUGGAUGACACAAUGAGGACUGCCUGAAAAAAAAGAAAAAAAAUCUGAAGUAAAAGAGAAAUGGACAAGCAGCAAAUGAUCUUUGGAGAAGAUGUGGAAUCCUAGCCAUUGAAGGCAAGGUAUUUUAUUAAAUUUUUGCUGUCAUAGAACAUCUGGCAUCCUCAUGGAUGGGGGAGUCAAUGUUCCAAGGAG
rnacentral:lncRNA from 10 species